rnacentral:rRNA from 1 species
UACGUAGGGUGCGCGCGUUAAUCGGAAUUACUGGGCGUAAAGCGUGCGCAGGCGGUUCUUCAAGUCAGCUGUGAAAGCCCCGGGCUUAACCUGGGAAUUGCGGUUGAAACUACAGGGCUAGAAUCUGGCAGAGGGGGGUGGAAUUCCACGUGUAGCAGUGAAAUGCGUAGAGAUGUGGAGGAACACCGAUGGCGAAGGCAGCCCCCUGGGCUGAGAUUGACGCUCAGGCACGAAAGCGUGGGGAGCAAACAGG